GAUGAACGCUGGCGGCGUGCUUAACACAUGCAAGUCGAACGGAAGGGCCCAAGCUUGCUUGGGUACUCGAGUGGCGAACGGGUGAGUAACACGUGGGUGAUCUGCCCUGCACUUCGGGAUAAGCCUGGGAAACUGGGUCUAAUACCGGAUAGGACCACUUCUUGGAUGUUGUGGUGGAAAGUUUUUUCGGUGUGGGAUGAGCUCGCGGCCUAUCAGCUUGUUGGUGGGGUAAUGGCCUACCAAGGCGUCGACGGGUAGCCGGCCUGAGAGGGUGUACGGCCACAUUGGGACUGAGAUACGGCCCAGACUCCUACGGGAGGCAGCAGUGGGGAAUAUUGCACAAUGGGCGCAAGCCUGAUGCAGCGACGCCGCGUGGGGGAUGACGGCCUUCGGGUUGUAAACUCCUUUCGCUAGGGACGAAGCGUUUUGUGACGGUACCUGGAGAAGAAGCACCGGCUAACUACGUG
rnacentral:rRNA from 1 species